UACGGGGGGGGCAAGCGUUGUUCGGAAUUACUGGGCGUAAAGGGCUCGUAGGCGGCCAACUAAGUCAGACGUGAAAUCCCUCGGCUUAACCGGGGAACUGCGUCUGAUACUGGUUGGCUUGAGUUUGGGAGAGGGAUGCGGAAUUCCAGGUGUAGCGGUGAAAUGCGUAGAUAUCUGGAGGAACACCGGUGGCGAAGGCGGCAUCCUGGACCAAUACUGACGCUGAGGAGCGAAAGCCAGGGGAGCAAACGGG
rnacentral:rRNA from 1 species